rnacentral:rRNA from 1 species
GCUACGGGGAGCUGGCAACGAGCUUGAUCCGUAGAUAUCCGAAUGGGGAAACCCGGCGCGCAAGCGUCACUCCCACCUGAAUAUAUAGGGUGGGUAGAGCGAACGCAGCGAACUGAAACAUCUAAGUAGCUGCAGGAAAAGAAAUCAACCGAGAUUCCCAAAGUAGUGGCGAGCGAAAUGGGAAGAGCCUGUAUGUGAUAGUCAACUGGUUAGUGGAACGGAAUGGAAAGUCCGGCGAUAGAGGGUGAUAGCCCCGUACACGAAAACUGGUUGGUGGUACUGAGCAUACGACAAGUAGGGCGGGGCACGAGAAACCUUGUCUGAACAUGGGGGGACCAUCCUCCAAGGCUAAAUACUCGUAAUCGACCGAUAGUGAACCAGUACCGUGAGGGAAAGGCGAAAAGAACCCCGGGAGGGGAGUGAAAUAGAACCUGAAACCGUGUGCAUACAAACAGUGGGAGCGGACUUGUUCCGUGACUGCGUACCUUUUGUAUAAUGGGUCAGCGACUUACGUUCAGUAGCGAGCUUAACCGAGUAGGGGAG